GUGGGGAAUCUUGCGCAAUGGGCGAAAGCCUGACGCAGCCAUGCCGCGUGCAGGAAGAAGGCGCUACGCGUUGUAAACUGCUUUUAACCGGGAAGAAACCCCAGGACGUGUCCUGGGUUGACGGUACCGGAGGAAUAAGCACCGGCUAACUUCGUGCCAGCAGCCGCGGUAAUACGAAGGGUGCAAGCGUUAUCCGGAUUCAUUGGGUUUAAAGGGUGCGUAGGCGGAGCGUUAAGUCAGUGGUGAAAUCCUGCAGCUUAACUGUAGACUUGCCAUUGAUACUGGCGCUCUUGAGUGCGCUUGAAGUGGGCGGAAUGUGCCGUGUAGCGGUGAAAUGCUUAGAUAUGGCACAGAACACCAAUUGCGAAGGCAGCUCACUAAGGCGAUACUGACGCUGAGGCACGAAAGCGUGGGGAUCGAACAGGAUUAGAAACCCUAGUAGUCC
rnacentral:rRNA from 1 species